GCAUAUCAAUAAGCGGAGGAAAAGAAACUAACUAGGAUUCCCUUUAGUAACGGCGAGUGAACCGGGAUGAGCUCAAAUUUAAAAUCUGGCGUCUUUCAGGCGUCCGAGUUGUAAUCUAUAGAGGCGUUUUCCGCGCUGGACCGCGUCCAAGUCUCUUGGAAUAGAGUAUCAAAGAGGGUGACAAUCCCGUACUUGACGCGACAACCGGUGCUCUGCUGAUACGUUCUCAAUGAGUCGAGUUGUUUGGGAAUGCAGCUCUAAAUGGGUGGUAAAUUCCAUCUAAGGCUAAAUAUUGGCGAGAGACCGAUAGCGAACAAGUACCGUGAGGGAAAGAUGAAAAGCACUUUGGAAAGAGAGUUAAACAGCACGUGAAAUUGUUAAAAGGGAAACGAUUGAAGUCAGUCGUGUGAAAGGUAUUCAGCCGGGUCUGGCGGUGUAUUUGCCUUUCACGGGUCAACAUCAGUUUGAUCCGGUAGAAAAAGGCGGGAGGAAGGUGGCACCCUCGGGUGUGUUAUAGCCUCCUGUCAUAUGUGCC
rnacentral:rRNA from 1 species